rnacentral:rRNA from 1 species
GAUGAACGCUGGCGGCGUGCCUAAUACAUGCAAGUCGAGCGAACAGACGAGGAGCUUGCUCCUCUGACGUUAGCGGCGGACGGGUGAGUAACACGUGGAUAACCUACCUAAGAGACUGGGAUAACUUCGGGAAACCGGAGCUAAUACCGGAUAAUAUAUUGAACCGCAUGGUUCAAUAGUGAAAGACGGUUUUGCUGUCACUUAUAGAUGGAUCCGCGCCGCAUUAGCUAGUUGGUAAGGUAACGGCUUACCAAGGCAACGAUGCGUAGCCGACCUGAGAGGGUGAUCGGCCACACUGGAACUGAGACACGGUCCAGACUCCUACGGGAGGCAGCAGUAGGGAAUCUUCCGCAAUGGGCGAAAGCCUGACGGAGCAACGCCGCGUGAGUGAUGAAGGUCUUCGGAUCGUAAAACUCUGUUAUUAGGGAAGAACAAAUGUGUAAGUAACUAUGCACGUCUUGACGGUACCUAAUCAGAAAGCCACGGCUAACUACGUG